rnacentral:rRNA from 1 species
GGUUUGGUUUCGACGGCGUGUCUGAGGCUCGCUGCAGACCUGAAGCUUGAUAUCGAAUUCGCGUGUCGCCCUUAGAGUUUGAUCCUGGCUCAGGACGAACGCUGGCGGCGUGCUUAACACAUGCAAGUCGAACGAUGAACCACUUCGGUGGGGAUUAGUGGCGAACGGGUGAGUAACACGUGGGCAAUCUGCCCUUCACUCUGGGACAAGCCCUGGAAACGGGGUCUAAUACCGGAUACCACUACCGCAGGCAUCUGUGGUGGUUGAAAGCUCCGGCGGUGAAGGAUGAGCCCGCGGCCUAUCAGCUUGUUGGUGAGGUAAUGGCUCACCAAGGCGACGACGGGUAGCCGGCCUGAGAGGGCGACCGGCCACACUGGGACUGAGACACGGCCCAGACUCCUACGGGAGGCAGCAGUGGGGAAUAUUGCACAAUGGGCGAAAGCCUGAUGCAGCGACGCCGCGUGAGGGAUGACGGCCUUCGGGUUGUAAACCUCUUUCAGCAGGGAAGAAGCGAAAGUGACGGUACCUGCAGAAGAAGCGCCGGCUAACUACGUGCCAGCAGCCGCGGUAAUACGUAGGGCGCAAGCGUUGUCCGGAAUUAUUGGGCGUAAAGAGCUCGUAGGCGGCUUGUCACGUCGGGUGUGAAAGCCCGGGGCUUAACCCCGGGUCUGCAUUCGAUACGGGCUAGCUAGAGUGUGGUAGGGGAGAUCGGAAUUCCUGGUGUAGCGGUGAAAUGCGCAGAUAUCAGGAGGAACACCGGUGGCGAAGGCGGAUCUCUGGGCCAUUACUGACGCUGAGGAGCGAAAGCGUGGGGAGCGAACAGGAUUAGAUACCCUGGUAGUCCACGCCGUAAACGGUGGGAACUAGGUGUUGGCGACAUUCCACGUCGUCGGUGCCGCAGCUAACGCAUUAAGUUCCCCGCCUGGGGAGUACGGCCGCAAGGCUAAAACUCAAAGGAAUUGACGGGGGCCCG